GACGAACGCUGGCGGCGUGCUUAACACAUGCAAGUCGAACGGAAAGGCCCUGCUUUUGUGGGGUGCUCAAGGGGCGAACGGGUGAGUAACACGUGAGUAACCUGCCCUUGACUUUGGGAUAACUUCAGGAAACUGGGGCAAAUACCGGAUAGGAGCUCCUGCUGCAUGGUGGGGGUUGGAAAGUUUCGGCGGUUGGGGAUGGACUCGCGGCUUAUCAGCUUGUUUGUGGGGUGGUGGCUCACCAAGGCUUUGACGGGUAGCCGGCCUGAGAGGGUGACCGGCCACAUUGGGACUGAGAUACGGCCCAGACUCCUACGGGAGGCAGCAGUGGGGAAUAUUGCACAAUGGGCGGAAGCCUGAUGCAGCAACGCCGCGUGCGGGAUGACGGCCUUCGGGUUGUAAACCGCUUUCGCCUGUGACGAAGCGUGAGUGACGGUAAUGGGUAAAGAAGCACCGGCUAACUACGUG
rnacentral:rRNA from 1 species